UACGGAGGGAGCUAGCGUUGUUCGGAAUUACUGGGCGUAAAGCGCACGUAGGCGGCUUUGUAAGUUAGAGGUGAAAGCCCGGGGCUCAACCCCGGAAUAGCCUUUAAGACUGCAUCGCUUGAAUCCGGGAGAGGUGAGUGGAAUUCCGAGUGUAGAGGUGAAAUUCGUAGAUAUUCGGAAGAACACCAGUGGCGAAGGCGACUUUCUGGACAUUAACUGACGCUGAGGCGCGAAAGCGUGGGGAGCAAACAGG
rnacentral:rRNA from 1 species